CACAGAAAUGUUGAUAGCUGAGAAUUGGAGAAUAAUGGGAUAGAAGAUUGAAAACUAAGGUACCUAUCACCUGUAGUAUGCGGAGUAUAGCAGUUUACAUUUUUCGUUUGCGGUUUCAUUCAUUUUUGAUGCACACAAAGUAGAUUGAAUUGGCAGAACAUUAGUGAUGAGUUGGCAGAAGAGCAAUUCUAGAUUGUCCGUGUGUUGGUGGAGGUACUUGUAGAAAAUGCCAUAUCACAAGCUUCUUGGUUUGGUGCGUCUGAAAUUGUACUCAAGGCAGUGAAUGAUAGUUGAAAGUAUGUGCUGUUCAGAAAAGAUGCUGCUGUAGUGGAUUAUAGAUUUUGAACUUCAAUUACGAGACGUAAAGUUGAUAGUAGUAUUGCUCUGUCUGGUGAAAAUCUGAACAUUCUCUAGUACAAAACCUAGCAAGUCUUUGCAAGCAUUUAGUAGUUGCUUACUCAAUCUGAUGGUUGUCUAUCUAUCUGCAUUAAAACUUGCUGUGCAAUACUUAUUUGAUAUACAUCUUUCAAUAUUCUGUGCUGUCUUUAUUUUAUUUAUAUUUUUUUCACUGUAAUGCAAAGCUUUAUCUGUUUUUAAUUGCAUUGUUCAGACAAGACCAAGUAAUUAUGUAAUUGAAUGUUCAAAUGGUGCCUUCCCUUUAAUGACAAAUCUGAACAUCUGUAAAAUUGAUAACCCUUUAAAAAGUAAUUAAUUAAAUGCAUUGAUAACUGAUACAGUAUUGUAUAUAAAUAUAUGCUUGCUGUAUUUUAAUAAUUAUGCUAGUUGGCUGGAAUACAUUUGUUUAUGGUGUACUUCAUUAAAUAUGUGAAAAUGUUA